rnacentral:rRNA from 1 species
ACCAGACUCCUACGGGAGGCAGCAGUGGGGAAUAUUGCACAAUGGGGGAAACCCUGAUGCAGCGACGCCGCGUGAAGGAAGAAGUAUUUCGGUAUGUAAACUUCUCUCAGCAGGGAAGAAAAUGACGGUACCUGACUAAGAAGCCCCGGCUAACUACGUGCCAGCAGCCGCGGUAAUACGUAGGGGGCAAGCGUUAUCCGGAUUUACUGGGCGUAAAGCGCUCGUAGGCGGUAUGUCAAGUCAAGGGUGAAAUCCCCGCGCUCAACGUGGGAACUGCCUUUGAAACUGGCAAACUGGAGUGUGUGAGAGGAUAGUGGAAUUCCAGGUGUAGGAGUGAAAUCCGUAGAUAUCUGGAGGAACAUCAGUGGCGAAGGCGACUAUCUGGCACAUAACUGACGCUGAGGAGCGAAAGCGUGGGUAGCAAACAGGAUUAGAUACCCGAGUA